UGGGGCGGUCUCCUCCCAAAGCGUAACGGAGGAGCACGAAGGUUAGCUAAUCCUGGUCGGACAUCAGGAGGUUAGUGCAAUGGCAUAAGCUAGCUUGACUGCGAGCGUGACGGCGCGAGCAGGUGCGAAAGCAGGUCAUAGUGAUCCGGUGGUUCUGAAUGGAAGGGCCAUCGCUCAACGGAUAAAAGGUACUCCGGGGAUAACAGGCUGAUACCGCCCAAGAGUUCAUAUCGACGGCGGUGUUUGGCACCUCGAUGUCGGCUCAUCACAUCCUGGGGCUGAAGUAGGUCCCAAGGGUAUGGCUGUUCGCCAUUUAAAGUGGUACGCGAGCUGGGUUUAGAACGUCGUGAGACAGUUCGGUCCCUAUCUGCCGUGGGCGCUGGAGAAUUGAGGGGGGCUGCUCCUAGUACGAGAGGACCGGAGUGGACGCAUCACUGGUGUUCGGGUUGUCAUGCCAAUGGCACUGCCCGGUAGCUAAAUGCGGAAGAGAUAAGUGCUGAAAGCAUCUAAGCACGAAACUUGCCCCGAGAUGAGUUCUCCCUGAGACUU
rnacentral:rRNA from 1 species